rnacentral:rRNA from 1 species
UGGGGAAUAUUGGACAAUGGGCGAAAGCCUGAUCCAGCCAUGCCGCGUGUGUGAAGAAGGUCUUCGGAUUGUAAAGCACUUUAAGUUGGGAGGAAGGGCAGUAAGCGAAUACCUUGCUGUUUUGACGUUACCGACAGAAUAAGCACCGGCUAACUCUGUGCCAGCAGCCGCGGUAAUACAGAGGGUGCGAGCGUUAAUCGGAUUUACUGGGCGUAAAGCGUGCGUAGGCGGCUAAUUGAGUCGGAUGUGAAAUCCCCGAGCUUAACUUGGGAAUUGCAUUCGAUACUAGUUAGCUAGAGUGUGGGAGAGGAUGGUAGAAUUCCAGGUGUAGCGGUGAAAUGCGUAGAGAUCUGGAGGAAUACCGAUGGCGAAGGCAGCCAUCUGGCCUAACACUGACGCUGAGGUACGAAAGCAUGGGGAGCAAACAGG